rnacentral:rRNA from 1 species
AGGCUUUGCAAAUACUUCGUGAAAUCAACAUGCUCAACAUGUUGAAUGGCGGAGUACACUACAGAGCUAGAGACUGGGAGGCGUUAGAGGUAUUCUUGAGGGAGCGGUAAAAUGCUAUAAUCUCAAGAGGACCGCCUAUGGCGAAAGCAUCUAACGAGAACAGAUCUGACUGUGAGGGACGAAAGCCAGGGGAGCAAACCGGAUUAGAUACCCGAGUAGUCCUGGCCAUAAACGUUGUGGACAAGGCAUAGUAUAUCCCACGAGGAUACGCUGUGGCGAAGAGAAGUCAUUAAGUCCACCGCCUGGGAA